UGGGGAAUAUUGCACAAUGGGCGCAAGCCUGAUGCAGCAACGCCGCGUGAGGGACGACGGCCUUCGGGUUGUAAACCUCUUUUAGUAGGGAAGAAGCGAAAGUGACGGUACCUGCAGAAAAAGCACCGGCUAACUACGUGCCAGCAGCCGCGGUAAUACGUAGGGUGCGAGCGUUGUCCGGAAUUAUUGGGCGUAAAGAGCUCGUAGGCGGUCUGUCGCGUCUGCUGUGAAAACCCGAGGCUCAACCUCGGGCCUGCAGUGGGUACGGGCAGACUAGAGUGCGGUAGGGGAGAAUGGAAUUCCUGGUGUAGCGGUGAAAUGCGCAGAUAUCAGGAGGAACACCGAUGGCGAAGGCAGUUCUCUGGGCCGUAACUGACGCUGAGGAGCGAAAAGCGUGGGGAGCGAACAGGAUUAGAUACCCUGGUAGUCCACGCCGUAAAACGUUGGGCGCUAGAUGUGGGGACCAUUCCACGGUUUCCGUGUCGUAGCUAACGCAUUAAGCG
rnacentral:rRNA from 1 species